CGACCCCAGGUCAGGCGGGAUCACCCGCUGAGUUUAAGCAUAUCAAUAAGCGGAGGAAAAGAAACUAACAAGGAUUCCCUUAGUAACGGCGAGCGAACCGGGAAGAGCCCAGCUUGAAAAUCGGAUGUCUUUGGCGUUCGAAUUGUAGUCUGGAGAAGCGUCCUCAGCGACGGACCGGGCCCAAGUUCCCUGGAAAGGGGCGCCAGAGAGGGUGAGAGCCCCGUCGUGCCCGGACCCUGUCGCACCACGAGGCGCUGUCUACGAGUCGGGUUGUUUGGGAAUGCAGCCCCAAUCGGGCGGUAAAUUCCGUCCAAGGCUAAAUAUGGGCGAGAGACCGAUAGCGAACAAGUACCGCGAGGUAAAGAUGAAAAGGACUUUGAAAAGAGAGUCAAAGAGUGCUUGAAAUUGUCGGGAGGGAAGCGGAUGGGGGCCGGCGAUGCGUCCUGGUCGGAUGCGGAACGGAGCAAUCCGGUCCGCCGAUCGAUUCGGGGCGUGGACCGACGCGGAUUAAGGUGGUGACCUAAGCCCGGGCUUUUGUUACGCCCGCGGAGACGUCGCUGCCUUAAUCGUGGUCUGCAGCACGCGCCUCACGGCGUGCCUCGGCAUCUGCGUGCUCAGGGCUUCGGCCUGUGGGCUCCUCAUUCGACCGCUUGAAACACGGACCAAGGAGUCUGACAUGUGUGCAACUCAAUGGGUGAGUAAACCCGUAAGGCGUAAGGAAGCCGAUUGGCUGGAUCCCUCACGGGUGCACAGCCGACCGACCUUGAUCUUCUGAGAAGGGUUCGAGUGUGAGCAUGCCUGUCGGGACCCGAAAGAUGGUGAACUAUGCAUGAGCGGGGCAAAGCCGGAGGAAACUCUGGUGGAGGCCCACAACGAUACUGACAUGCAAAUCGUUCGUCUGACUUGGCUAUAGGGGCGAAAGACUAAUCGAACCAUCUAGUAGUUGGUUCCCUCCGAAGGUUCCCUCAGGAUAGCUGGAGCUCGGAAACGAAUUCUAUCGGGUAAAGCCAAUGAUUUGAGGCAUCGGGGAUGCAAUGUCCUCGACCUAUUCUCAAACUUUAAAUGCGUAGGACGGGGUGGCUGCUUUGUUGAGCCAUCCCACGGAAUCGAGAGCUCCAAGUGGGCCAUUUUUUGUAAGCAGAACUGGCGAUGCGGGAUGAACCGGAAGCCGGGUUACGGUGCCCAACUGCGCGCUAACCUAGAACCCACAAAGGGUGUUGGUCAAUUUAGACAGCAGGACGGUGGUCAUGGAAGUUGAAAUCCGCUAAUGAGUGUGUAACAACUCACCUGCCGAAUCAACUAGCCCCGAAAAUUAAUGGCGCUGACGCGCGCAACAUAUACCCGUCCGUCGGGGCAAGAGCCAUGCCUCGACGAGUAGGAGGGUGCGGCGGUCGCUGCAAAACCUAGGGUGCAAGCCCGGGCGGAGCGGCCAUCGGUGCAGAUCUUGGUGGUACUAGCAAAUAUUCAAAUGAAAACUUUGAAGGCCGAAGAGGGGAAAGGUUCCAUGUGAACGGCACUUUCACAUGGGUUAGUCGAUCCUAAGAGUCGGGGGAAACCCGUCUGAUAGAGCUUAUGCACGAACUUCGAAAGGGGAUCCGGUUAAAAUUCCAGAACCGGGACGUGGCGGUUGACGGCAACGUUAGGGAGUCCGGAGACGUCGGCGGGAAUUCCGGAAAAAGUUAUCUUUUUUGUUUAACAGCCUGCCCACCCUGGAAACGGCUGAGCCGGAGGUAGGCUCCAGCGGCUGGAAGAGCACCGCACGUUGCUUGGUGUCCGGUGCUUUCCCGGUGGCCCUUGAAAAUCCGGAGGACCAAGUGCCGCUCACGCCCGGUUGUUGGUGUCAAAAUUGGUCACGACGGAAUCAAUGGGUAAAAGUCUCUGU
rfam:Brassica napus, WGS project CCCW01000000 data, contig: 25839